CAAAGGCAUGGUCCCGACCUUUUAAUCAGCUCUAACCUGAUUUACACAUGCAAGUCUCCGCAACCCUGUGAGCAUGCCCUCAAUCCCCUCACUCGGGGAUAAGGAGCGGGUAUCAGGCACAAAAAUUAGCCCAAGACACCUAGCCUAGCCACGCCCCCAAGGGGAUCCAGCAGUGAUAAACAUUAAGCAAUAAGCGAAAGCUUGACUCAGUUAAGGUUACAUAAGGGCCGGUAAAACUCGUGCCAGCAACCGCGGUUAGACGAGAGGCCCUAGUUGAUUAAUCCACGGCGUAAAGGGUGGUUAUGGGAAUUAAAGGAUAAAGCCAAAUAGCCCCUUGGCCGUCAUACGCUCCUGGGAGCCCGAAACCCAAGCACGAAAGUAGCUUUAAAAAAUUACCUGAAUCCACGAAAGCUGAGGAACAAACUGGGAUUAGAUACCCCACUAUGCUCAGCCGUAAACCAAGACAUAUAAUUACAACAAUGCCCGCCUGGACACUACGAGCACUAGCUUAAAACCCAAAGGACCUGACGGUGUCUUAGAUCCCCCUAGAGGAGCCUGUUCUAGAACCGAUUAUCCCCGUUAAACCUCACCAUUUCUUGUUAAACCAGCCUAUAUACCGCCGUCGCCAGCUUACCCUGUGAAGGCAAAAAAGUAAGCGAAAGGGGUACAACCCAAAACGUCAGGUCGAGGUGUAGCACAUGAAGUGGGAAGAAAUGGGCUACAUUUUCUAUUUCAGAAAACUACGAACGCGCAAUAUGAAACACGUGCCAGAAGGAGGAUUUAGUAGUAAAAAGGAAAUAGAGAGUCCUUUUGAACCCGGCUCUAAGACGCGUACACACCGCCCGUCACUCCCCCCAGUCUAAAUGCGAAGAACAUACUUAAUAAGACAGCACUGACGAGGGGGGAAAAGUCGUAACAAGGUAAGUGUACCGGAAGGUGCACUUGGAUAAACC
rnacentral:ncRNA from 1 species